UGCAGAAAAGGGAAUGAAGUUCUCCCCCGAUUUGAUUCGAAACCGCUUUAUAAGCUGAUGACUUCUGUGCUUCA
rfam:Clostridium sp. CAG:277 genomic scaffold, scf100